rnacentral:sRNA from 1 species
CAGCUUAGGCAGCAAUACGCUGAGCGGUGAGGCUGUGUUGAUGAAGAAGGAAGCAGCAUCACACCUGGCAUGGAAGCUGUCAGGAGGUGGAGGUUGGGGAGAAAAGAGAUGAUGGUAUGGUGAGAUGUCUACUGAACUGCUCCUGCCAAGGCCCCUCCCCAUGUACUCUCAACAAAAGUUGCAGGCAGCCACCUCUCAACAACCCAUGAAGUGUCUGGAGCUCCACCCUCUGCUCAAGAGGAACGGCACAUGACCCAGGCCUAUGCCAAUCAGCAUUUCACAUUCCUCAUGAUUGGUUCAAAGGUGCAAGAAGAGUUGUUGAUUUUUCAGCCUGUCUAGCUUUGUAGUUGCUGUUAAGAUAGAAUGGACUUCCAAGCUCCUUACGUGCAGAAGCAGAAACCAGAGGUCCUAUCAAAAUAGUUUUAAAUUGUAUUAAACAUACACAAAAGUAGA